rnacentral:rRNA from 1 species
UACAUGGGGUGCAAACGUUGCUCGGAAUUAUUGGGCGUAAAGCGCACGUAGGCGGUUUGUUAAGUCGGAUGUGAAAUCCCUCGGCUCAACUGAGGAAGUGCAUCCGAAACUGGCAAGCUUGAGUACGAAAGAGGAUCGCGGAAUUCCCGGUGUAGAGGUGAAAUUCGUAGAUAUCGGGAGGAACACCGGUGGCGAAGGCGGGUCUCUGGGCAAUUCCUGACGCUGAGGCGCGAAAGCGUGGGGAGCAAACGGG